rnacentral:rRNA from 1 species
GAGCACCUACGGGAGGCAGCAGUAGGGAAUCUUCCACAAUGGGCGAAAGCCUGAUGGAGCAACGCCGCGUGGGUGAAGAAGGUCUUCGGAUCGUAAAACCCUGUUGUUAGAGAAGAAAGUGCGUGAGAGUAACUGUUCACGUUUCGACGGUAUCUAACCAGAAAGCCACGGCUAACUACGUGCCAGCAGCCGCGGUGAUACGUAGGUGGCAAGCGCUAUCCGGCUUUAUUGGGCGUAAAGGGAACGCAGGCGGUCUUUUAAGUCUGAU